AUGGCUGUCGUCAGCUCGUGCCGUGAGGUGUUGGGUUAAGUCCCGCAACGAGCGCAACCCCUAUCAUUAGUUGCCAACAGGUUAUGCUGGGGACUCUAAUGAGACUGCCCGCGUAAGCGGUGAGGAAGGUGGGGAUGACGUCAAGUCAUCACGGCCCUUACGUCCUGGGCUACACACGUGCUACAAUGGCCGGUACAGAGGGCAGCUACUUCGUAAGAAGAUGCUAAUCCUUAAAGCCGGUCUCAGUUCGGAUUGAGGUCUGCAACUCGACCUCAUGAAGCUGGAUUCGCUAGUAAUCGCAUAUCAGCCAUGAUGCGGUGAAUACGUUCCCGGGCCUUGUACACACCGCCCGUCAAGCCAUGGAAGUUGGGGGUACCUGAAGUCGAUCACCGCAAGGAGUCGCCUAGGGUAAAACCAAUGACUGGGGCUAAGUCGUAACAAGGUAGCCGUACCGGAAGGUGUGGCUGGAACACCUCCUUUCUGGAGUGAUUAUUACUAUCGCUUGUUAUUUCCUUUCAUUUUCUUCGUUUAAAAAAUUAUCCCAAAACGAGCAAGUGGUCUUCUCUAUGCUAAGAGUUCAGACGGGAAUAGUUGGUCACGGCAAUCAAUGGUAAUUAACUGCCAACUGCCAACUGCCAACUGUCUACUACUAAAAAUAGUCCCGUAGCUCAGCUUGGUUAGAGCACUACACUGAUAAUGUAGGGGUCAGCAGUUCAAAUCUGCUCGGGACUACUACUUGGAAUUAAAAAUUAAUAAUUCAGAAUUAAAUUUUUAAUUCUUAAUUUUUAAUUCUGAAUUCUGGUUUUGGGGGAUUAGCUCAGCUGGCUAGAGCGCCUGCUUUGCAAGCAGGAGGUCAUCGGUUCGACUCCGAUAUUCUCCACAAAAUUGAUUAGCUGAUUUGAUAAUUUGAUGAUUGGCUAAUGUUACCGUUCUUUAAAAUUGAAUUAAUGCUUUGGAAGUGAUCAGGAUUUUUCUCCUGAUCAAUUGGUUCGAUUCCAAUUUGAUUCACGAAUUGAUUUUGAUUUGCUUAUGAUAAUUACCAAAUUAUCAAAUCAUCAAAUCGAUUACGUUCUUUGACAUAUUGAAAGAAAACAUAAUAAACAUUAAAAGAAUUUAUCGUUAAGAUAAGAAAGUUAAUUAAGGGCGCAUGGUGAAUGCCUUGGCUCUCAUAGGCGAUGAAGGACGUGAUAAGCUGCGAAAAGCUUCGGGGAGGUGCAAACAACCUUUGAUCCGGAGAUAUCCGAAUGGGGAAACCCGG
rnacentral:sRNA from 1 species